rnacentral:tRNA from 2 species
UGAUAGCUCAGUCGGUAGAGCAAAGGACUGAAAAUCCUUGUGUCACUGGUUCGAUUCCAGUUCA